CCAUAGCCCUGAUGGAAGCGGCAUCCUUUUUUGUUUUUUUGUCACAUUUUUCAAUUGGAUAACAGAAUAUUGAUAAAAACAAAAAAGAUACAGCGGACAGCAGGAUUAAGC
rnacentral:sRNA from 1 species